rnacentral:miRNA from 1 species
AACGAACCUGGUUAACCUCUUUU